rnacentral:rRNA from 1 species
AGCGGAGGGAUCAUUACCGAGUUUACAACUCCCAAACCCCAAUGUGAACGUUACCAAUCUGUUGCCUCGGCGGGAUUCUCUUGCCCCGGGCGCGUCGCAGCCCCGGAUCCCAUGGCGCCCGCCGGAGGACCAACUCCAAACUCUUUUUUUCUCUCCGUCGCGGCUCCCGUCGCGGCUCUGUUUUAUUUUUGCUCUGAGCCUUUCUCGGCGACCCUAGCGGGCGUCUCGAAAAUGAAUCAAAACUUUCAACAACGGAUCUCUUGGUUCUGGCAUCGAUGAAGAACGCAGCGAAAUGCGAUAAGUAAUGUGAAUUGCAGAAUUCAGUGAAUCAUCGAAUCUUUGAACGCACAUUGCGCCCGCCAGUAUUCUGGCGGGCAUGCCUGUCCGAGCGUCAUUUCAACCCUCGAACCCCUCCGGGGGGUCGGCGUUGGGGAUCGGCCCCUCACCGGGCCGCCCCCGAAAUACAGUGGCGGUCUCGCCGCAGCCUCUCCUGCGCAGUAGUUUGCACACUCGCACCGGGAGCGCGGCGCGGCCACAGCCGUAAAACACCCCAAACUUCUGAAAUGUUGACCUCGGAUCAGGUAGGAAUACCCGCUGAACUUAAGCAUAUCAAUAAGCGGAGGAAAAGAAACCAACAGGG